CGACUUUGGAAGAGCUCCUAUUUCCGGUCUUAUAGCUUCUGGGUCCUAGGGGAGUGGGUGGGACGAGCCCUGAGUCCUGAGUCAAGUAAGGACGUCUGCCCAGCAGCUUUAGAGUUAUCAGUGCAGAACCCUUAAGCAUUCCCUGGGGCACUGCCAUGGGUGAAUUCAGCUUAAGAUGUGCGUCGAGGAGCAGAGCAUGGGGAUGCUGAUGCCAGAGCAGUUAGUUCCUGACCAGCCUGUUCUAGGAAAUCCACAGCAAAGUGAAGGGUUUCUCUAGCUUUGGAGCCACUCCUGGAACUAGCUUUUGUAGACCGGGUUGGCCUCGAACUCACAAAGAUCCUCCUGCUUCUGCCUCCCUAGUGCUGGAAUUAAAGGGCCGCACUACCACUGCCCAGCCGACCUCAUGCAUUCUAAUUAAGUACUCUACCACUGAGCUACAUUCCCAACCCUUUUCUUUUCUAAAAAUAAUUAUUCUUUGAAAAUGCCUUUAUAUAAUGUGUUUGUAUCAUAUUAUCCAUCUACCUUUUUCUUUCUGUUUUUUUUUUAUUUUAAACAUAAUUCUUUG